rnacentral:rRNA from 1 species
AUCAACUUUCGAUGGUAGGAUAGAGGCCUACCAUGGCGGUAACGGGUAACGGGGUGUUAGGGCACGACACCGGAGAGGGAGCCUGAGAAACGGCUACCACAUCCAAGGAUGGCAGCAGGCGCGCAAAUUACCCAAUCCCGACACGGGGAGGUAGUGACAAUAAAUAACAAUACGGGGUUCUUUCGGAUCUCGUAAUUGGAAUGAGUACAAUUUAAAUCUCUUAACGAGGAACAAUUGGAGGGCAAGUCUGGUGCCAGCAGCCGCGGUAAUUCCAGCUCCAAUAGCGCAUAGUAAAGUUGUUGCAGUUAAAAAGCUCGUAGUUGAAUUUCGGGGUCAGCAGGUUGGUCGUGCCAAUGGUAUGCACUGGCCUUGCUGAUUCCUCCCUCUUGAUGAGCCGUAAUGCCAUUAAUUUGGUGUUGCGGGGAAUCAGGACUGUUACUUUGAAAAAAUUAGAGUGUUUAAAGCAGGCAAGCGCUUGAAUACAUUAGCAUGGAAUAAUGAAAUAGGACGUUCGAUCCUAUUUUGUUGGUUUCUAGGAUUGACGUAAUGAUUAAUAGGGAUAGUUGGGGGCAUUAGUAUUCAAUUGUCAGAGGUGAAAUUCUUGGAUUUAUUGAAGACUAACUACUGCGAAAGCAUUUGCCAAGGAUGUUUUCAUUAAUCAAGAACGAAAGUUAGGGGAUCGAAGACGAUCAGAUACCGUCGUAGUCUUAACCAUAAACUAUGCCGACUAGGGAUCGGAUGAUGUUAAUUUUUUAAUGACUCAUUCGGCGCCUUACGGGAAACCAAAGUGUUUGGGUUC